CGACAAUCAUGAAUCGUUAAGAAUAAACUUAAGAUUUGAAAUUAUCUGGGAAGCCCUCAUUAUGCUUGCGUCACAAGUCGAUAAGUCAUGCCAUUUUUCGCGCAAAUAUAAGCGUACGCGGUUCUGCUAGAAUUCGAACCCACGAUCUGAAGUAUGGCAUGACCCCUCCCCACCACCAGGCUAUAGCAUCACUUGUGAAUAGAGAUGAGAUAGGUUACUUUUAACAUUAACCUUCAAAUCUCAACUACCUAAAAAGACCGUACUGAGUCCUAACCCUGCCUCCGUGUUUCUCCCUGCGUUACCUUUCCUCCUCCUACCUCCGUCAAAAAGCGAAAAGAAACUGCCGAAAACAAAAAAAACUUCGGCCGUGGCUUCCGCCUUGACGCCAGCUCUCCGGCGCCUGCCGGCCCCGUCGCUCCACGCCGCGCCCCGCUUCCGCCUUCACGCCCCGCGGCGCCGGCCGCCCCGCCCCGCCCUGCUUCCGCCUUGACGCCGGCUCUGCGGCGCCGGCCGUCCCUCUCACUGCACGCCGACCCGCCCCCUCGGCUGCCGAUUGGUCGGCCGCGCGGGACAGCCCCGCCCCGCCCCGUCCCUCGCCCGCGCCGCCUCCGCCUGCGCCGGACGCGCCGCCGGGGAGCAGAGGCGAGCAGCGGCCGACCACCGCCUGCCCUCGCGCGGGUGGCUGCGGGAGGCCACGCCUCGUCGUCGGGGUGCCGUCCGCGGCGCCUCUCUCGCUGCACGCCGACCCGCCCCGCCCCCUCGUUCAACGUCGCCUCCGCCUGCGCCGGGCGUGCGGGACCGCCCCGCCCCGUCCCUCGCCCGCGCCGCCUCGCGCGUGAACCACGCCGCCCAAGCCCCUGCCGACAAGCCCUACAAGAAAAUACUACUUGGAAACUCUCCAUUGGAGGAUGGGAUUGUGUAGAGUCACACGAGCCAGAGGUAGGGACUUGGGGAAUUUUGCAAGCAAGAGGUGUAUAUCGAUUUGGGAUUCAAGAUAAUGCGGUGGAGAUUUAGGGGAUUUUCUCGUGAGGGUCAGGGAGCUCUUCAAUCAGUGUCAGUGUGACUGCAAAUACAAUUUAGUUUUCAAUCACUCAAGUCGUCCAAACAAACUCCAAUUGCAGUUUCAGACCCCAAACUAGGAAUGCCCAAUGAUUCUUUUUAGAUGACAACAGUUAUGGACAGUGACUCAACUUGGGUACGGCAGAAAAUUUGUGUGAUAAUUGUAUGGGUUUGGGUUCAGAUACAAUUUAAGACCAGCUAUGUUCUUUUUCCACUCCAUUACUUGACAGCUAUAAACAAGUCAUUAUGUUUAGCAUGGACUACGAAAGUUCUGUUCUACAUUGGAUCAUUGAAAUUUGAAAGUACUAAAUGAUUCGGUGGCCCUUAAAACAAAUUUUAGGAACAUCAUGGAAGUCAUUUCUCGAAUCAUUUUAGCAAAUAAACAUUACUUGUUGUUAUCUGCAAAAAGUUGGCUAUGAAAUUUGUCCCAGAUAAUUCCUUUGGCCAGAUAAUUUUCUUCUUGUUCCUCGAGUUUCAUUAUUUCGUUAUGGCAUGUACAGACUCACUUAUUGAGGUCAAUAUAGGUAUUACUCCAACAAUCCAGUGCAGGAAACGAAGGAAAUAAAGAUGAGAUUUCAUUGAUACUGAAAAGGAUGAAAGGGGAGGGAAUUUUUCUGCAGGUGAAUGAAAUUUGACCCAGGAGCCAGGAAGACGACUUCUGGAACUGAACAAUCUAUGUAACUGUUUGGUGUGCGCUUGGUUAGGAAAUUGUCUACAUGUCUACAGCCUCUCCUUUUAAUUUGCAAGAAAAAAAUGUUGAAUAUUUAAUCAACUCAAUUAGACAAGUCCUUGGCGUGUUAAUGUCCAUUACAGCAAAUGGAUUUAAAUCCCUGCAGAAUUCUCGAGUAGUAUGUUUUGUUAGGCCUAUCAUAGAACUUAAGCUAGGCAGACUGAGGUGACAAAUGGUGUGACCUAUGCAGAUUUUUUCUUAGGGUUCAGUUCAGGCUAGGAUCUGUCAUAUAGCAAUUUGCAUAACUGACAAUGAUGCUUCUGUUCAUUCUGCACUGUUCUUUCAGACUACCCAUGCUAUAAUAUAUAUACAGCCUGCAUACC